AUUUGAUAGUACCUUACUACAUGGAUAACCGUGGUAAUUCUAGAGCUAAUACAUGCUAAAAACCUCGACUUCGGAAGGGGUGUAUUUAUUAGAUAAAAAACCAAUGCCCUUCGGGGCUCCUUGGUGAAUCAUAAUAACUUAACGAAUCGCAUGGCCUUGCGCCGGCGAUGGUUCAUUCAAAUUUCUGCCCUAUCAACUUUCGAUUGUAGGAUAGUGGCCUACAAUGGUUUCAACGGGUAACGGGGAAUUAGGGUUCGACUCCGGAGAGGGAGCCUGAGAAACGGCUACCACAUCCAAGGAAGGCAGCAGGCGCGCAAAUUACCCAAUCCCGACACGGGGAGGUAGUGACAAUAAAUACUGAUACAGGGCUCUUUUGGGUCUUGUAAUUGGAAUGAGUACAAUUUAAAUCCCUUAACGAGGAACAAUUGGAGGGCAAGUCUGGUGCCAGCAGCCGCGGUAAUUCCAGCUCCAAUAGCGUAUAUUAAAGUUGUUGCAGUUAAAAAGCUCGUAGUUGAACCUUGGGCCUGGCUGGCCGGUCCGCCUCACCGCGUGUACUGGUCCGGCCGGGCCUUUCCUUCUGGGGAACCUCAUGCCCUUCACUGGGUGUGUUGGGGAACCAGGACUUUUACUUUGAAAAAAUUAGAGUGUUCAAAGCAGGCGUUUGCUCAUUGAAUACUUCAGCAUGGAAUAAUAAGAUACGACCUUGGUGGUCCUAUUUUGUUGGUUUGCACACCAGGGUAAUGAUUAAUAGGGACAGUUGGGGGUAUUCAUAUUUCAACGUCAGAGGUGAAAUUCUUGGAUUUAUUGAAGACUAACUACUGCGAAAGCAUUUGCCAAGGAUGUUUUCAUUAAUCAGUGAACGAAAGUUAGGGGAUCGAAGACGAUCAGAUACCGUCGUAGUCUUAACCAUAAACUAUGCCGACUAGGGAUCGGGCGAUGUUCUUUUUCUGACUCGCUCGGCACCUUACGAGAAAUCAAAGUUUUUGGGUUCUGGGGGGAUUAUGGUCGCAAGGCUGAAACUUAAAGAAAUUGACGGAAGGUCACCACCAGGCGUGGAGCCUGCGG
rnacentral:rRNA from 1 species